UCUGUUCCGAUUUUUUUCCCCUCCCUCCCUCCACCCCCUCCCCUAGAUGGCAAGCAGUCCUUUAUAUGUUGGAUAUGUUGCAGUAUAUCCUAGAUACAAUAUAUGUUUGCAGAACCGAACAGUUCUCUUGUUGCACAGGGAGAAUUGGAUUCAGAAGGUAUAAAUAAUCCGGGAAGAAAAACAAAAAUGCAGAUAGUUCACAUUCGUUUCCCAGUGUUCUUUCUUUGGGUGUAGCUGCUUUUGUCCGUCAUUUAUCAAUUGAAACUCAGGUCUCUUUGUCAAAGAAAUCCACUUCCAUCAAAAUAUGUCCUCAUACAAUAUCGUUGUCGAAGUGUAUAAUGAUCUCCUGGUUCUGCUCAUUUCACUUAGCAUCAGUUCAUAUAGGUCUCUCCAAGCCUCUCUGUAUUCAUCCUGCUGGUCAUUUCUUACAGAACAAUAGUAUUCCAUAACAUUCAUAUACCACAAUUUACCCAGCCAUUCUCCAAUUGAUGGGCAUCCAUUCAUUUUCCAGUUUCUAGCCACUACAAACAGGGCUGCUACAAACAUUUUGGCACAUACAGGUCCCUUUCCCUUCUUUAGUAUUUCUUUGGGAUAUAAGCCCAAUAGAAACACUGCUGGAUCAAAGGAUAUGCACAUUUUGAUAAUUUUUUGGGCAUAAUUCCAGAUUGCUCUCCAGAAUGGUUGGAUUCGUUCACAACUCCACCAACAAUGCAUUAGUGUCCCAGUUUUCCCGCAUCCCCUCCAACAUUCAUCAUUAUUUUUUCCUGUCAUCUUAGCCAAUCUGACAGGUGUGUAGUGGUAUCUCAGAGUUGUCUUAAUUUGCAUUUCUCUGAUCAAUAAUGAUUUGGAACACUCUUUCAUAUGAGUGGUAAUAGUUUCAAUCUCAUCCUCUGAAAAUUGUCUGUUCAUAUCCUUUGACCAUUUAUCAAUUGGAGAAUGGCUUGAUUUCUUAUAAAUUUGAGUCAGUUCUCUAUAUAUUUUGGAAAUGAGGCCUUUAUCAGAACCUUUAACUGUGAAAAUGUUUUCCCAGUUUGUUGCUUCCCUUCUAAUCUUGUUUGCAUUAGUUUUAUUUGUACAAAGGCUUUUUAAUUUGAUGUAAUCGAAAUUUUCUAUUCUGUGAUCAGUAAUGGUCUCUAGUUCAUCUUUGGUCACAAAUUUCUUUCUCCUCCACAAGUCUGAGAGAUAAACUAUUCUAUGUUCCUCUAAUUUAUUUAUAAUCUCGUUCUUUAUGCCUAGGUCAUAGACCCAUUUUGAUCUUAUCUUGGUAUAUGGUGUUAUAAGGCAUUGAUUGUAAUUUUGAGAGAUGCAAUUAGGAAAUUAUUGCAGGACUUCAAAAUCCACAGAAAUCAUUGGAUUUCCUGACAUAAGAUUUGUUUUGGACUACCUCUUGACUGCUGAAAGAGGUGUACGUGUGAUUGUUAUUUAGUCUAGGCAAGAGGUGAUAAGAGGAAUAAGGGUGGCGACUGCAUGAACAGAAAGAAUGGGACAUGUGUAAAGACAUUAUGGCUAGAGAAACGAUAAAGUUUGGCAAAUGAUUGGGUAUUUGGGGUGAUCCCAAGAGCGAGAUCCAAAGAAUACCCUUGACAGUAACAGGAAAGUUCAGAAGAAGGGUAAAUUUUGGGGAAGAUGAUGAAUUCCAUUUUGGACACAUUGAGGUGCUUAUAGGAAUUGUUUGAAAUAUUUAAUGCUACCACCUCACACCUCUCAGAUUGGCUAAGAUGACAGGAAAAGAUAAUGACAAAUGUUGUGAUGUAGGAAAACUAAUGCAUUGUUGAUGGAUUUGUGAACUGAUCUAACCAUUCUGGAGAGCAAUUUGCAACUAUGCCCAAAGGACUAUAAAACUGUGCAUACCUUUUGACCCAGCAGUGCCACUACUGGAUCUGUAUCCUAAGGAAAUCAUAAAAGAGGAAAGGACCCACAUGUGCAAAAAUGUAGCAGAAUCGGCAAUACAUUGUACAUAGUAACAGCAAGAUUGUUCAAUGAUCAACUAUGAAAGACUUGACUCUCAACGGUUCAGUAAUCCACGGCAAUCCCAAUAAAUUUAAGAUAGAAAACAUCAUCUGCAUCCAGAAGAAAACUAUGGAGAUUAAAUUUCUCGGUGAACAGAGUGAGAAUCUUGGAGCCCAGCAUUCGUGGUUUAAUGUUGAUAGUAUGGAAGGAUUAUGCCUAUAAGGUGCUGGAAAAGGUAUUUGUAUGUUUGCUCUUAUUAUACUUUUGAAAUAAAAUUUAUUUAUCUGGU